GAGAGAGACAAACAAGGGAAGCCAAAAAAGCUCCGGAGCUCCCUCUGCCCCCUCAUAUCUCUCCAGGGAAUGAGAGAGUAGGGCAGAAAAUACAGGGACGGAGGAAGAGAAGACUGUUGAAUGUAGUUGAGCAGCGCAUUCAGAGCCAAUGAAAGACUGUGAUGGGACCGACACUGACAUACAGAGCAAAGCAGACCAGAGAUUUCUGACAUGGUGUCGACCCAGAUUGAUGGGAGGAAAAUGAGGGGAGAGAGGACAGAUCUAGACAGACUUGCGCCGCUGCUUCAGAAAACAGAUCGUAUACCGAGGACAUUCAUCUUCCGAUGUGCCCACAAGCAC